rnacentral:rRNA from 1 species
UACAAAAGUCGAACGAACUUCGGGUUAGUGGCGGACGGGUGAGUAACGCAAUCUGCCCUCAGUGAGGGGGACAACAGUUGGAAACGACUGCUAAUACCCCAUAUGCCGCGAGGUGAAAUGAAUUUCGCCUGAGGAUGAGCUCGCGUCUGAUUAGCUAGUUGGUGUAGGUAAUGGCUCACCAAGGCAUCGACCAGUAGCUGGUCUGAGAGGAUGAUCAGCCACACUGGGACUGAGACACGGCCCAGACUCCUACGUGGAGGCAGCAGUGGGGAAUUUUCCGCAAUGGGCGAAAGCCUGACGGAGCAACGCCCGACCGGUUGAGGGGGAAAAACUUUUGGAAAACGGGGACCCUCCUGGGCUGUAAACCUCUUUUAUCAAGGAAGAACGAUCUUGACGUGUACUUGAUGAAUAAAGCCACGGCUAAUUCCAGUGCCAGCAGACCGACAGAGUAAUAACGGGGAGUGGCAAGACGU